UCUAAGUCCAUUGGAACAUGGUGUCAUAGAGGGUGAGAAUCCCGUAUGCGACCGUGGCUCGAGCCCAUGUGAAGCCUCUUCGACGAGUCGAGUUGUUUGGGAAUGCAGCUCAAAAUGGGUGGUAAAUUUCAUCUAAAGCUAAAUACUGGCUGGAGACCGAUAGCGCACAAGUAGAGUGAUCGAAAGAUGAAAAGCACUUUGGAAAGAGAGUCAAACAGUACGUGAAAUUGUUGAAAGGGAAGCGCUUGCAACCAGACCUGCCCGUAGGCGAUCAGCCGCUGUUCUCAGCGGUGUACUCGCUCUGCGAUCAGGCCAGCAUCGGUUUCGGCGGUCGGAUAAAGGCCUUGGGAAUGUAGCUUCCCUUCGGGGGAGUCUUAUAGCCCUCGGUGCAAUGCGGCCAGCCGGGACCGAGGACCGCGCUCCGGCUAGGAUGCUGGCGUAAUGGUUGUAAGCGACCCGUCUUGAAACACGGACCAAGGAGUCUAACAUCUAUGCGAGUGUUUGGGUGUCAAACCCAUACGCGGAAUGAAAGUGAACGGAGGUGAGAACCCUCAAGGGCGCAUCAUCGACCGAUCCAGAUGUCUUCGGAUGGAUUUGAGUAUGAGCAUAGCUGUUGGGACCCGAAAGAUGGUGAACUAUGCCUGAAUAGGGUGAAGCCAGAGGAAACUCUGGUGGAGGCUCGCAGCGGUUCUGACGUGCAAAUCGAUCGUCAAAUUUGGGUAUAGGGGCGAAAGACUAAUC
rnacentral:rRNA from 1 species